UUAGGGACGCCACAGUUCCUGAACGCUCACUUGGCCAUAUUUUAGGGCAUGAAAUGCCAAGAAAAUAGACAUUUCGGUGAAUAUAAGCAGCUGUGCUGCUAUUUUUCUGUCUAGCCAGUGCUUUUUUAGAAAGGGUGUGGAUUGUUACGAGGACAUGCGAAGUCUGGAUUUGGAAGUCCCGUGGGUUAGGGGUGAGUCAGGGAUAGAACGGUCACCCUGGGGUUUUUAAUCAGAGAGAGAAGCAAGGUAGGGAACCGGAGGUUUCCAGAAGCGGGUCGCUCAUGUAAAACUGUGGAUUCG